CGGAAUUACUGGGUGUAAAGGGAGCGCAGGCGGACCGGCAAGUUGGAAGUGAAAACCAUGGGCUCAACCCAUGAAUUGCUUUCAAAACUGCUGGCCUUGAGUAGUGCAGAGGUAGGUGGAAUUCCCGGUGUAGCGGUGGAAUGCGUAGAUAUCGGGAGGAACACCAGUGGCGAAGGCGACCUACUGGGCACCAACUGACGCUGAGGCUCGAAAGCAUGGGUAGCAAACAGGAUUAGAUACCCUGGUAGUCCAUGCCGUAAACGAUGAUUACUAGGUGUUGGAGGAUUGACCCCUUCAGUGCCGCAGUUAACACAAUAAGUAAUCCGCCUGGGGAGUACGACCGCAAGGUUGAAACUCAAAGGAAUUGACGGGGGCCCGCACAAGCAGUGGAGUAUGUGGUUUAAUUCGAAGCAACGCGAAGAACCUUACCAGGUCUUGACAUCCGAUGCAUAGUGCAGAGAUGCAUGAAGUCCUUCGGGACAUCGAGACAGGUGGUGCAUGGUUGUCGUCAGCUCGUGUCGUGAG
rnacentral:rRNA from 1 species